UACAGAGGGUGCGAGCGUUAAUCGGAAUUACUGGGCGUAAAGCGCGCGUAGGCGGCUUUGCAAGUCGGGUGUGAAAUCCCCAGGCUUAACCUGGGAACUGCAUUCGAGACUGCAUUGCUAGAGUAUGGGAGAGGGAAGUGGAAUUUCCGGUGUAGCGGUGAAAUGCGUAGAUAUCGGAAGGAACAUCAGUGGCGAAGGCAGCACUCUGGGACGUGACUGACGCUGAGACGCGAAAGCGUGGGGAGCAAACAGG
rnacentral:rRNA from 1 species